rnacentral:miRNA from 1 species
AGCAAAGCAAAGCUCAGUUGG